AGAGUUUGAUCAUGGCUCAGGACGAACGCUGGCGGCGUGCUUAACACAUGCAAGUCGAGCGGAAAGGCCCUUUGGGGUACUCGAGCGGCGAACGGGUGAGUAACACGUGAGUAAUCUGCCCUUGGCUUUGGGAUAACUACCGGAAACGGUGGCUAAUACCGGAUACGACAACCGUCUGCAUGGGCUGGUUGUGGAAAGUUUUUUCGGCCAGGGAUGUGCUCGCGGCCUAUCAGCUUGUUGGUGGGGUAAUGGCCUACCAAGGCUUCGACGGGUAGCCGGCCUGAGAGGGUGACCGGCCACACUGGGACUGAGACACGGCCCAGACUCCUACGGGAGGCAGCAGUGGGGAAUAUUGGACAAUGGGCGGAAGCCUGAUCCAGCAACGCCGCGUGAGGGAUGACGGCCUUCGGGUUGUAAACCUCUUUCAGUACCGACGAAGCGCCGAUGAUGGUGGUGACGGUAGGUACAGAAGAAGCACCGGCCAACUACGUGCCAGCAGCCGCGGUA
rnacentral:rRNA from 1 species